UACGUAGGGGGCUGGCGUUAUCCGGAAUUACUGGGCGUAAAGGGUGCGUAGGUGGUUUCUUAAGUCAGAGGUGAAAGGCUACGGCUCAACCGUAGUAAGCCUUUGAAACUGGGGAACUUGAGUGCAGGAGAGGAGAGUGGAAUUCCUAGUGUAGCGGUGAAAUGCGUAGAUAUUAGGAGGAACACCAGUUGCGAAGGCGGCUCUCUGGACUGUAACUGACACUGAGGCACGAAAGCGUGGGGAGCAAACAGG
rnacentral:rRNA from 1 species